rnacentral:rRNA from 1 species
CCUGGGAGGCAGCAGUAGGGAAUCUUCCACAAUGGGCGAAAGCCUGAUGGAGCAACGCCGCGUGGGUGAAGAAGGUCUUCGGAUCGUAAAACCCUGUUGUUAGAGAAGAAAGUGCGUGAGAGUAACUGUUCACGUUUCGACGGUAUCUAACCAGAAAGCCACGGCUAACUACGUGCCAGCAGCCGCGGUAAUACGUAGGUGGCAAGCGUUAUCCGGAUUUAUUGGGCGUAAAGGGAACGCAGGCGGUCUUUUAAGUCUGAUGUGAAAGCCUUCGGCUUAACCGGAGUAGUGCAUUGGAAACUGUGUAACUGGAGUACAGGAGGGGCAGGCGGAAUUCCUGGUGUAGCGGUGAAAUGCGUAGAUAUCAGGAGGAACACCGGCGGCGAAGGCGGCCUGCUGGACUGAAACUGACGUUGAGGCUCGAAAGCGUGGGGAGCAAACAGGAUUAGAUACCCUUGUAGUC